ACUCUCGGAGAGACCAUUAUGAGA
rnacentral:siRNA from 1 species